GGGUCAGUAGGUUGGUCGUGCCACCGGUACGUACUGGUCUCACUGAUUCCUCCUUCCUGAAGAACCGUAAUGCCAUUAAUUUGGUGUAGCGGGGAAACAGGACUGUUACUUUGAAAAAAUUAGAGUGUUUAAAGCAAGCUAACGCCUGAAUACAUGAGCAUGGAAUAAUGAACUAGGACGAUCGAUCCUAUUUUGUUGGUUUCUAGGAUUGACGUA
rnacentral:rRNA from 1 species